UACGAAGGGGGCUAGCGUUGUUCGGAAUUACUGGGCGUAAAGCGUGCGCAGGCGGCUAUCCAAGUCAGUGGUGAAAGCCCGGAGCUCAACUCCGGAACUGCCAUUGAAACUGUUUAGCUCGAGUACGAGAGAGGUGAGUGGAAUUCCCAGUGUAGAGGUGAAAUUCGUAGAUAUUGGGAAGAACACCGGUGGCGAAGGCGGCUCACUGGCUCGUAACUGACACUCAUGCACGACAGCGUGGGGAUCAAACAGG
rnacentral:rRNA from 1 species